UAUAAACAGAGCAGUUCGCUGCUGGCAGGCCAGGCAGAAACAUUACCUGGCUGAAAGGCUGUAUGGAAUAUCUUGGAGAAGUUCACCCUAUUUUGAAAACCAUUUGUUAAAUGGAAUUUAGUGCAAAUGCAAGUUGAUGGAUGGAUAUUAAAGUCCUUGAUGCAGCCGAAAAACACAUACUUCAUGCAAGCUCUUUCAUCAGUAUGCCUUGGGCCCAUCUUGUCAGAAUCACCUCUCACCCCAAGAAGCAUAAAAACUAUGUUGUAGUUGGGAGGACUGGCUGAGGAGUAAUACCCGGGCUCCUGUCUGAAGAAGCCAACAGGCUAAGCAAGCAUCAUACAGAGGCUUACGCUCAGAUCCUGAAGUUGUGCAGAGCAUUGGAGAUCAAGCUGGACUGCUACCAGAAGUCAAGCUUAGAGGUUUGCAGAUUCAUUGAAAUCAAAACAUUCUGUUCAAACUGGAGGACUUCAGUGACACUGGGAUAGAGCUCUGCAUGGUUUCCUGCCAGCUUGCUGACCCAGUUAUCCAGCAGCCUGGUGGACUGACUCUUAUUCCUAAGGCCUCUCUGAGAUGUCACACACCACCGUAUAAACACAUAAUAGGUAGAGCCAGCCUGCCAGGAGUAGGCCAGUUUUCAGUACUACCUGAAGGUCUUAACCCAAGUGAAAGUCGCAAGUAACAUGGCAUUCACACUGUGACCUAGACAAACAGUAGGUCACUGAUGGGAAGUCUGCACCAUUCAUUCGCUAUGCUGCAAGUAGUAGAGAAGGCAGCCUGAGCAGUAAGGGAGUGGGUCUCGGGGGCGGGGGGGCACUGGGAGAAAGAGGCUCUCGGCCACUCCCUUGCUGCCAGCUGGGCUGCAGUAAGGGAGGGCAGCUUUGAACACCAUUCUCUCGUGGGUGCCACGGCCUGCACUGGCCUUGCCCAGAGUGGCUCCACCUGCCCCCCUUGGGCAGCUGGUCUGGAGCCUGGAGUCUCAGCUGGCCACUGCUCCAGCUCCCCCUCUGCCCCACAGGAGGGUGCCCAUGGGGGUACAGCAGACCCUGAUCCCCUAGCCCCCAUGGGGUUGCGGAGCCAUGCUCCCUGCCCCGAGGGCUGGGCAGGGACCCCCACCCCUGCUAUGGGGCAGGGAGGCCCCUGGCCAUGGGGAGGAGAGCCUGGUGUUGUAGAGAGCCGUGCUGGAGGUCUGGUGGGGAGUUGUGUAGAGCCCCGGGGGCCAUGCCCAGGCCUGACUAGGUCCCUUCUGAUCCUACUGACUAUGAAAGUAAUAAUCUGUAGGGCAUAUGGCUGGGAAGGAAGGUUUGGGGAACAUACUCACAAGAUGAAGUCAGUUUUCUUCAGUUGUAGGAUGUGGUGCCCUGCUAACAAGUAUUCCCGUGAAGAGACAAGUGGGUUAAGUGUCUGAAGCAAUGGCAUGCUCCUGUCCCUUUCUUUCUGCUGCAGACUAAUCUCACUGCUAUUCAGAAGUGCAUGAAUGACUGUCCCUUUUCCUGGCUGGAUUGUGCUCUCACAUUCAUUCUGAAGUGUUAGCAAGGGUUCAUACCAGAACAUGAAGCCUCCCCCUGCCAAUGGGAGGCAGAACUGAAGCAGGCUUGGCUUCCAGGUAGCAAUGGAAAGCAUCCAUUACUUAACUGUUGGUGAAGAACUGGACACAGGUAAAGGCAAGAAUAUGGCAUAGUUGGCCAAGGUGUACGCAGGCAGAGCUGUUGUUAAAGACCACCUCUGAAUACAGGAACAACCCUCUUAGCUCUCACCUUUUAUUGGUGAGUGCCAAAGGUUGGCAGGCAGAGUUGUUGUCCGUGGUGGUGGAGAGGGACUCUUGCCUUGAGAGUGUUGGCUAUGGCUACUUGUCUGACAUAAUUUAGGUGAAUAACUCAGAGUGAAGAAAAAAGCUGUGGCUCUAGUCUUUGAUCCAAAAAUGAUGGGUUCUUGUUGGAACCCAUGACCCAAAAUCCCAGAAAUGUGAGAGACUUGCAAAUCCAUACUUACCCCUUUUAGCUUGGGCCCAUCUCUAGUUCACAUGCAGAUGGGGCUAAACGGUUUAAUGAUUUUCACUUCUCACUGUAAAGACAAGAAGUAUAGAGAUAUCCUCUUGAAGACUCACCAUUUGAAAUAAAGGAAAAAAACAAAGUAAAAGCAAAAUUUAAAUGCUUCUAGACUUUUUCAAGUGCUGGGAUUUUUUUAGACUCUCUUGUUAACUUCUCUUCCCUUUCAAGGACAUACAGUCCUUUUGAAGACAUUUGUGCUGCAACAAUUGCAUCAGCAGAGUGUUGGUAUAAACUCCAAUAGUUUUCAUGAAAACUGAGCCCCCACAUGAAAUUUUAUCACUUGUUUCAUAAGCCUUGUCUCAGGAAGGGACAUGUUCCUUAUAUCAGUCUUACAGAGUCUCCCCACUUCUUCCUUCCAUGUUGGGAUGAGAGCCCUUUUUUCACAGUGCGUAUUUCUGACUCAUACAAAUCAGCUCCAAAGCUCGGGAUAUGCCAAAAACGGGUUAUUCAUAUUCAUUCACACUCUUUUAUGCAGCUCUGCUCUCAUAAAGCAGAACAUGUGUCUGAUGAGCUUAUUUACUUUCUAAAUGCGUAAGGAUAGAGAAUAUGCAAUGUAUAAUGUUAAUAAGAGUGGAUUAACAACAAUGAAGCACCUGCAAAUAAAACUCUCCUAAUACUUCUGACCACAGUACUUUCCAGCGAGCUUUGAGGUGUCACUGCAUGGAAUUAUCAGGUGCACUCACCAUCUCUUGUUCUCCUUUAACAUAUAGGUACAUGCUUGCUUCUUUUCUUUAUGGAGGUGGGCUGGUUGGCACAAUGAACGCAAGCAACCCCCUUGUUUAUUUUUCCAGGACUCCAUGUGACUUCUGGCAGUUCAUUCCUUGCAGGGGGGCAAAAGGUUUAUCGCCCAGCACAAAUGCUGUCUAAUGAGGCCCCAGAAGGUCUAUUUCUGCUUGACCAGCUCUCUCUGCAGGAGCUGAAGGUGCUCCAAUCUUCCUCUAACCUGGUCCCCUGCAAAGCAGUGAAAAUGCAUCAACAUUGAAUGGUGCAAGCAAAAUCCAAGAAUCUAGCAAGAAAACUAAGCAAGAAAAGCCCCGAGUUUAUUGUAUUACCAAGAAGACAGUUUCCUUUCAUUCUUGACCACUUAUUCUCAGCCUCCUUUCCUUUGCAAUAAUACAACCCCCUAACAUUUCAGCUAUUCUUAAAAACUAAAUUUUGAUCUUUCCUUUUUAAUGACAAAAGCCUUUGUUAUUUUUCUGAUAAAAAAGUUGGUCAGCUGCUCUGUCAGAAACCCUUCAGCAAGCAAAUAAUCCAGAAUGACGUUUAUGAACAUACUAUGUCCUCCCAUCUCUGGCUUGCUGGGGCUAACCCACAGAAAAACAGACCUGAGCUCAGCUGAGCUGACUCUGGGAUCACCUCCACACUCCCUCUGUCUGGGACCUGGUCCGACACAACCAUAUUCACCCUGUGACUAGAACAGGAAGUUCAUCAAGAAAACCAAGACACAAGCUGAUCAGGACAUUUUCUACUGGUUUAAUUUUUCAAUGGAAAAUGAAAUUUUUGAGUAACUGAAAUUUUCCAUAUGACAACAUUAGUUUUGCAAAAACAGUUUUGAUUUUCUCCUAGGAAGACGGAGUUAUUUUUCUAGGUCAGUUUAACUCCAGAUCAGGAUAUUCCAUUUCGAUCAACUGACCUGAAACAUUUAAUUUUGAAUCAGUCUAAUUCCAUGUUGAACUGCAUUUCCCUAUCAGCACGUGGUAGCUCAGGCUCUCGUUCCUUCUUACCCAUAGAGUUCUUUGGAGGACGGUAUCUGCCAAAUGCAAGGUAGAUUUCCCUCUGUAUAUGUAUCAUGGGAGUCACGACUGGAUAAUUGAUGGGAGAGGUAGUUCAGCCAGACCCUGCACCUGCAUUGGAGCAAGUGGAGGCAGCAGGCCUUGAACUGUAACUCCUGUUAAGCCAUGAAGCAGUUUAAGAAAACAGAGUUUGAUAUGGAACUGACAUAAGAUGGAGUAUUUCAGGUCCCUUCAAUAAAAUGAAAUGGCACCUGUCAAU